rnacentral:rRNA from 1 species
GACGUAGGGCGCGAGCGUUGUCCGGAUUUAUUGGGCGUAAAGAGCUCGUAGGCGGCUUGUCGCGUCGUCCGUGAAAACCUGGGGCUCAACCCCAGGCUUGCGGUGGAUACGGGCAGACUAGAGGUAGGUAGGGGAGAAUGGAAUUCCUGGUGUAGCGGUGGAAUGCGCAGAUAUCAGGAGGAACACCGGUGGCGAAGGCGGGCAU